GAUUUAGGGGUUUCCCACCAAACACAGUGAUACACGUGUGAACAUACAAACCAAAACAAAGUGAACAUGAUGGAUGAAGCUAGUUUACGUUGUGCUGUUUUUCGAACAUUUUCACUGCUUAUAAUUUUAUUGAUUUCAUCCGUAACUCUAACCAAGAAAGAAUCACCAGAUGUUUAUAAAGGAAAAAGAUCUCCAUUAGAAAUGUAUAAAAAAUUAUUUCAAGAACACAGAGCAAUACAGCUAGAGGCGGUCAAAUCCAUCCAGAACUAUGGAGAGUACAAACAGCGACACCAACUUGUCAAGAUGACGCUGGAGAAACUGUUUAAAGUCAUCAGUGAAGCAAAAGUGAAUUUGACUCUGUGGGGGUAUAUACCAGGAGACCCUUUCCCUGAAAAUACCACUAUAAGGGAUGGUCUCUCAAAAGUGUUUGAAAAUACAGCCAUGUUUGGAGACUUGGUUCUUCGACUUCCAGACAUUGUUCAUUCUACAUACGAUAAAAAUAAAGACUGGCAGUUACUCCUUGGAUGGUGCUACUGGUUUUGCAAAGAGUCAGGAGUGUUUGAUGAGACAAAUGGAAGGCUUCUCCAUUUGAUGGCACAAGAGGUCAAACUGAUAGAGAGAGAAGAAAACUACACCAACCCCUUUACACUGGAGAGCCAACUCAAACAGCAAAAACAGAGACAUGGGGAGAAAAAAGAAAUCAAAACAAAG
rnacentral:misc_RNA from 1 species